rnacentral:rRNA from 1 species
UACGUAGGCAGCAAGCGUUGUUCGGAGUUACUGGGCGUAAAGAGUGCGUAGGUGGUGCCCUAAGUCUGUUGUGAAAUCUCCCGGCUUAACUGGGAGGGUGCGGUGGAAACUGGGGUGCUUGAGUGUGGGAGAGGUAAGCGGAAUUCCUGGUGUAGCGGUGAAAUGCGUAGAUAUCAAGAGGAACACCAGUGGCGAAGGCGAGUCCCUGGACAACACCUGACACUGAGGCACGAAAGCUAGGGGAGCAAACAGG